CAUUUCGCGUCCCCCAAAAGUCGGUGGAUCUCGUUCGCGUGAGGAGCUCAGCGCUCCGUUAGCGGCAAUUCGAAAAGAUAAACUCCACGCCAAAAACGGUACGUUCAAAUCGCCGCUGCAAACGCACAAACACCUCAAACGGCAAACGCACGUAAAUUGCGAGUAAUCAAGCAGAUAAUAAAAAAUGUGUAAACAGCUGUGUGUUGCCCGUUAAAAUAUAUUGUUUAUAUUCUUAAUCGGGAUGCCAGAAGCCGGAGGCUGCUAAAAAUAUUUACCGUGGGUGUUAGUGUUUUUUUUUCGCACAAGACCCCCCGUCAUUUUUGCCGAAAGGGGCGUGAGAAUUUCUGCGUGCGUGUAUUGGUGUUUUGUGUAUAACAUGGAUAUUCAAGAAUUUCGCACAUGAAUCCUUUUUACAACAAAUUAUAGUGUUGCCUUUAAUGCACUCUUGAGUUUCCAAAUAGCGAGGUGGAAAUAAGUGAAAAAAACGUGAACGGAGCAAGGAUAACGUAUUAGUCAUCGCUGGCAGCGACGUCGACUGCGCAGUCAGCAGCGCAUCCUGGCUGCUCGUGUGUGUGUGCGUGCGUGCGUGCGUGUGUGUGUCUCUCUAUUUUUGAAUUUCCGCCGGUUUCCGCACAACAACAACAACAACGAAGGCAACAGAGCGAAGAAUAAAACAACAACUUGUUUGUUUGAUCCCUGAAAGAGAGCAAGGAAGAGAGCAGGAUGGAGCGAAAGUUUACGCGCGGCUUAAACAAGCUCGGCUCAGCGGUGCAAAUGAGAGAGAAUGUCUCUCAGCUGGUGCGCGAGAGCGCGAUUUUGAUGAACUGCACUGGCCGCCAUCAGCGUAGCCUCUCCAUUGCGACCAAGCCACUCGUGGUGGAGCCGAUCGACUUUGAAGCCUUUAUAGCCAAAAAUAAAACUGUUAUCCAAAAUGAUCCGCAGCGGGAGCUACUCAUCUAUCCCGUGGAUGAUGUCUCGGAGAUCAUUAUGCCCCGCAAGCAGCGCACCAAUGCCAAAUCAGUGGCGGACAGAUUCGAUCCUCCCAAUGAGGCGAUCGUGUGUCCCCUCCAUGGUCCUGCCAUGAUAACGAACGGGAAUGGACACAGUCAAGUGAGUCGCCAGGGUAGCAUACAGUCGAAUGGCAGCCACCACAACGGGAAUGGGAACGGGAAUGGGAAUGGCAAUGGGCACACAAGCAGCAGCAGUAGCAGCAGUUUGAACAACUCCAAUGGACAUGGGCAACUCUCCAGGAAGAGUUCACAGUGCUCGAAUGGCUCGUCCAGUCACAAGGACUCCUCAUAUGAGUCAGCCCUGUCGUCGAUUACACUCCGCUCGAAUCUGGCCCAGCCGGAGGAGUUGGAUGAGUUUGCGGAUGAUGGGCAGGGCGAGGUCUUGUUCGAUGGCCAGCCUCACGGAUCCAGGGCAGAGUGCACCAGAUUCACAAGGCAGGCUCUGUACACUUACAGGGCAAAGAAUCACUUGAUUCACUAUAAAUACAAUGCCUACGGUGGAAACUGUCACGAUCUGCCCAGCAUAUCACCUGCCGAGGAACUGGUGGAAGAGGUCUAUGAAAUCGAUGCGGAUCAGGAUCGCAUUGACGAGCAGAUGACACGCUCCCAGGCGGACACCAUAACCAAGCAGGGAUAUCUCCUAAAGGGACCCGAUUCUGCAUCAGAUCGGAUGUUUGCCAAUAUUGGCAACAAGUCGUUUAAGCGACGCUACUGCUAUCUGCGACAGGAGAUAGAUGGCACAUAUAUCCUAGAACUGCACAAGGACGAGAAGCAGGGCGAAGCCAAAGCCACAAUCGUGAUGGACUUUUGCACAGAUGUGGUUCAGAAUCCGAAACGCGGUCGCUUUUGCUUUGAGCUCCGCAUGACGACGGGCCAUAAGUCCUUCACGCUGGCUGCCGAAAACGAACAGGACUUUAAGGACUGGCUCAGCAAAAUUUCAUCGGUUUUGGCCCAGAAUCGCGCACAAGAAGAGAAGCGAAAUGCUUCACUGGAACGGCAGCCAUCUAUAGGCUCGAAUCCAAGUCCCCAGCUGCAGCCACCCGCAAUGGAGCCGCCCACCUUUGGCACUUUGAAGGGCUUGGAUCAAUCGCUGCAUCCGCAAUUGAUGAAGUAUGGACGGGAAACGGAUCACUCGAUAGCUCUGGCGAGAAGGGAACAGCGCCGCCGGCUAUUUGCCUGCUAUCAGUCGCCGGUCAAGGGCAGCGGUAGCGAUAGUGUGGAGCAGUAUCGCGAGCACUUUGGCACACGCUUACUGCUCAACUGCCACAACCUGCGCUUCCGGCUGCAGUGCAUCCCACAGGACGAGGGCUCUGCGAGCGGAGUCGAACAGCAGGUGGAACCCUAUAUCACCAGCCUGGCCUUGUUCGAUGCCAAGGCAAACCGAAAGCUGAGCGAGAACUUUUACUUCAACGUAAAUGAGCAGUGGGCUGCACAGCUAUUGCCAAAUAUGCCAGUACCUUCGUCGGUUGCUGGUUGUGGCGUUCCGAGAAAGUCAGCGGAGGGCGAUGAAAGGAGUUCCGCUUGCCAGGCACCUCAUUCCCUGUUCGAUGGAGUGUCUGCCGAGCUGUUGCGAUCGAAUCGACAGCAAUUCCAGCAACUGCGACAAUGUCUGCUUUCCGUGACAGCUCCGCAUGCAGAUAUAUAUCUGGUGGUGCGAAUAGAGAAAAUACUGCAAUCAGGCAUAGCCCAGGUUGCCGAACCGUAUCUCAAAGCUGGCAAGGAUCCAAAGCUGGGCCAAAAGGUCUAUAAAGCGGCGAAGAGCUAUGCUCAACAUAUUGGACAUUACCGGCAGCCUUUUGCCUGGGCAGCCAGACCGCUCUUCAAGCAAUACAGCCACGAAUUGGAUGUAGAUCCGAAGAGAGAGUUCGAAUUCAGUCCCAUUUAUCGCCAGGAGAUACCCAAACUGAAGGAUGAGGAACUACUUAAGCUAUUGGUCGAUUAUCGCAAGCCUGAAAAACUGAGCAAACUAACUAUUAUUCCUGGCAGCCUUAAGAUGCAGAUGCAGUUCCUGGACCAAACCACACCUUGCGGCUUAAGCAAAUCACUGGCGCCCUUGUCCACAUUUAGUCCAUCUUCCAAGCAACCGCCCACUGUGGAAGUGGCCGAAUUCCAAAGCCAAAGCGAACGGGAUGCCCACCCCUAUACGAGUUUCUGUAACCACCUCUAUGUGUAUCCACUGAGUCUGCAAUUCGACAGCCAGAAACUGUUCUCGAGAGCCAGGAAUAUCACGGUCGUGGUGGAGCUACGUGAUGGCGACGGGGAGUACAGCAAACCCUUAAAGUGCAUAUAUGGGCGUCCUGGCCAGGAUCUUUUAGUGUCGCAGAUUGCCUGUCCGGUGCUGCAUCACAAUGUAACGCCCACCUGGUACGAGGAAAUCAAGCUACGUCUUCCGCUGGGACUAUUUCCGGAACACCACCUGCUGUUUUCCUUUUACCACGUGUCCUGUAACCUCAGCAAGAAAAGGGAUGCGCAUGCGGCGUUUGAAACACCUAUUGGUUACGCCUGGUUGCCAUUGCUCCAGAAGAAUCGGAUAUGCCUGGAGGAACAGCAACUUCCGGUGGCUGCCACUUUGCCAGUUGGCUAUCUUUCCAUACAACCCUUGGGAUGGGGCAAAGGGCAGAACUGCGGUCCGGAUAUUCAGUGGAUCGACAAUCAGAGGAAUUUAUAUACGGUGGGAUUGCGUCUGGACUCCACGGUUCUGACUGCCGACCAGCACUUGCACAACUUCUUUGGACACUGUGAACGGUUGCUGGAGGGGGGCAAAACUGGAGCGGUGCCAGCGGAAACGGAAACCUGCAAGAUCUUGAAAGCGGCCCACGCCAUUGAUAUGAAAUCCUUGAUUAACUACUUGCCCACGGUUCUCAAUGAGCUGUUCACUCUGCUAGUUCACACGCAGUCCGAAGAAAUCGGUUUGAACGUCAUCCGCUUGAUAACAAACAUCAUCCAUUUGAUCAGUGAUCAGGCGAAGAGAUCUGAUCUAUUGGGUGCCUAUGUGAAAUACGUAUUUCACGCACCCUACUACAGCCAACAAACUGCUAGGCAAAGGACGGUACAUGGAGAACUCUGCAGGCAUUUGCCCUAUCUCCUUAAUCCUAGCAAUCCCGAUUUCCUCAUAGUCAACAAAUUCAUGAGAUACUCGUCGAUAUUCUUCGAUCUGAUUAUCAAAAGUAUGGCUCAGCACUUGCUGGCCACCGGCAGGAUUCGAAUGCUACGCAACGAGCGAUUUCCCAAGGAAUAUGGGGAUCGUGUGGAACAAUUGAUAAAGGCACUAAUGCCCUACAUAACCACUCGAUUUGAGGACUUAAGUGAGGAAACUCAUUUGCUGAAUCGCUCUUUGGCCAAGUUUGUGCGCCAGUGUCUGAGUUACAUGGACAGGGGAUUUGUAUUCCGUUUGAUUCGUUGUUAUAUGGCAGAAUUUUCGCCUGGCAAUCCGCGGAUACUUCACGAAUACAAGUUCAACUUUCUGCAGGAGAUCUGCCAGCAUGAGCACUAUGUGCCACUCAAUCUGCCAUUCGUUUUGAAUCCGAAGAACAGACCACCUGAGAUGAUGCAGCACUUUACUCUUUCCGAACAAUUCUGUCGGCAACAUUUUCUAUCCGGACUACUGCUUCAGGAAUUGAAGAGCAGCCUGAAUGAAGUGGGCCAUGUGAGGCGACACGCGUUGGGCAUUUUCAAAGAUCUCUUGGCCAAACACGAGUUGGAUAACCGAUAUCAGCAGAAGGGCCAGCUCUCAAGGAUUGCCUUGCUCUAUGUUCCGUGGUUGGGCGUGGUGAUGGACAACAUCCAUCGGAUUGAUGAUUUAUCGGAGUCUGGAGCUUGUACGCCCAACGGACACGUUUAUGCGGACUCCGCUUCCUAUACCAAGCGCUUGAGUUGUUCCAGUAGCUAUGUGUUCAGCAAGGACUCCUCCACUUUCGGCUCUCUGACGUCCACGCCGCGUUCAAAGAAUCGCCUGACUAUGCACUGCGAUCAAGCGAGUCCAUACCGCACCUCGGUGCACAUGAAGGAGCACAACUAUCUGGCCGCUAUCGCUGGCCAACCCAUUAGCAAUGGGAUAUCUAAUCUCUCACUGAACUCGAAUACGGACUCGGGGCACUCUCAGGACACCACCACAAUUGGAGCGUAUACGAAUGGAGACACAGAUGUGGCCCUCCGAAAUGGACACAAUCGGUCAGUGAGCGUUACCCACGCACAGAUUCUCUCCCGUUGCGAUAAGUUCAGUUCUGUGGAAAGCAAGGACCUUCUUCUGGGCUUCCUUUUCAUCAUCAAACACCUGUCACAAGAACAGAUGGUUGCUUGGUGGCAAAACUGCAAUGAAUCCGAGACACUGCAGUUUCUCUCCAUUCUGGAUCUCUGCCUGCUGCAGUUCCGAUAUGUGGGCAAGAAAAGUGUAGUGAUAUCUACAGAAACCCGUCAGGGUCGUUUGGCCAAGGCCAACACUCUUCCAGCUAGAACUCAACCACCCACAGGCUUGGAAAACGGCAGUCAGGAACAGCAGCCAUCCAGUGGAACUUUGAAUCAAACCCGGGAACAUCUACUAGAGGAUAUCGAUACUCUGGCUAGAAGUCAGUUGGCGCUUUAUGAAUCGAAUUUGGCCACCGAAGUGGGAAUGAUUAUUUUGGACUGCUUGGGCCUGUAUGUCCUGCAGUUCAGACAGCUCUUGGCCGAUAGCUUAGUCCUGCCCAAGGUGGCCAGAGUUUACCUGAGAUUCCUGCAGUUGGGUCAAUCAGAAAGGCUCUCCAAACACGUCUUUGCAGCACUGAGAGCUUUCAUAAACAACUAUGCAAUGGCUCUUUUCAAAGGAAAUGCCAUGUUGUGCGGUCAGAUGGUUUAUGAGCUUCUCAAGGCCUGCGAUAGUCGCCUAGUGGAGAUUCGCCACGAAUCUUGUGCUGUUUUGUAUCUUCUCAUGCGCAGUAACUUUGAAUUCAGUGGCCGAAAAGCCCUAACUCGCGUACACCUGCAAGUUAUUAUAUCAGUAUCCCAGAUGAUUGGAAACGUAAUUGGACUGAACAAUGCUAGAUUCCAGGAAAGUUUGUCAAUCAUCAAUAGCUAUGCGAAUAGCGAUAAGGCGAUGAAGGGCACCGGUUUUCCCAUGGAGGUCAAGGACUUAACGCGUCGAGUGCGCACUGUACUUAUGGCCACCGCCCAAAUGCAGGCUCAUCAUAUGGAUCCUGAAAGAUUGCUGGAACUACAGUAUUCCCUAGCCAAUUCGUAUGCCUCCACGCCAGAGCUUCGCCACACUUGGCUGGUGACCAUGGCCAGAAAUCACGAGCAGAAUGGAAAUCUGUCGGAGGCUGCCUGCUGCCAUCUCCACAUUGCUGCACUGAUGUGCGAAUAUCUCCGACUUAGAGGAGGUUGCACUCUCAGUUGGUCAUCCACUGCAUUCGGCAAGAUAUCUACGAAUAUACCCCUAGAUGAGCAAGGUCUCAAACUGGAUGCUGGUGCUCAGGAUUCUCAGUACACAGAACAAAUGCUUUUGGAGCAGCUCAAGCUGUGUGCCGACUUCCUGGACCGCGCUGAAAGAUUUGAGUGCCUUGGAGAGCUCUACAAACUCAUCCUGCCCAUGUACGAAAGGGAUCGUAGUUACCAGGAACUGGCACACUGCUAUGAACACCUCACACAGGCCUACAACAAAAUAGGCGAGGUGAAUCGGUCAGGAAAGAGAAUGCUGGGCCGCUUUUACAGGGUGGUAUUCUAUGGACUGAUGUACUUUGAAGAAGAUCAUGCCAUUGAGUUUGUGUACAAGGAGCCCAAGCUAACAUCGCUCAGCGAAAUCUCUGAGCGACUGGCCAAACAGUACAAGGAGAAGUUUGGAGCCGAUGUAGUCAAGAUGAUCAUGGACUCGUCACCGGUUAAAGUAGACGAACUAGAUGCCAAGCUUGCGUACAUACAGGUCACCCAUGUGAUUCCUUUCUUCUCCAAAGACGAACUAGACCAAAGGCUAAAUGAAUUCGAGCAGAAUCACGAUGUGGACACUUUCAUGUACGAGACUCCGUUCACCAAAUCGGGAGCAGCCCGUGGCAGCGUAGAAGAGCAAUGGAAACGCAAGACGGUUAUAAAAACUCAAUACUCCUUCCCAUAUGUUCUUAAACGUAUACCGGUCAAGUCUCGUGAAAUCAUAGAACUGAGCCCCAUCGAGGUGGCCAUCGAUGAAAUGCAAUCCAAGGUUUCAGAGCUGGAGGAGAUCAUUCUCCCACCAGCCGAUGUGAAGAAGUUGCAGCUGCGUCUGCAGGGAAGUGUGGCGGUGACUGUGAAUGCUGGUCCUUUGGCCUACGCUCAUGCCUUUCUCGACGCCAAGGUGGUUAACAACUUCUCAAUGGAUCGCGUCGGAGAUCUUAAGGAUGUUUUUCGCGACUUCAUUGUGGUGUGCCAGAAGGCCCUGUUCCUCAACGAGCGGAUCAUCAGCGCUGACCAGAAGGAGUACCAUCAUGUGCUGAAGGAGAACUACGAGAAGCUGUGCCAGGCGCUCAGUGAGUUGCUGGACGACGAGUCCUUCCAGCCGCUCGGCGACGAUGCCGACAGCAUAAACCAGCGCAAUAGCAUGGCUUUGUUCAAUGCGAUCAGUGGCGCCUCCCAUAACUCAAGUACUGCUUAAGUCCAACAAAAGUCAUAAUAAGAUAUCAAAUAUCAAAAUUCUGAAACUCAGUCAGUUACCCACACGCACGGCUAACCAGAAACCAAACCAAACCGAAUGUUGAAGUAUUCAAAUAACACGAGCUCGAUACGUGGGCGUAGAGAUUGUAAUGCGUUAGCGUAACCACACGUAACCAUGUAGACGUAACAUAGACUCUAUUGGUGUUCCUUUGUUUGAAGUUGUCGUUGAUUUUCAAAUUGUCUUGCGGCAGGUAAAGCUCGAUUUUGGGCUUAAUGGUUUGCGCCUCGGCUGAGGCAAUCCGCAUGUGACUAACACCACAGAAAAACCUAAACAAUCCAAAUUUGGUGGCUUUUAAUCCGAAUCGAAACUAACCGACCGUAUUUUGUUGAUCAAAGUACCAGCAACAGCACCCAACACCACAGUUCCCACAUAAACACACAGAACUCCACACACCAUUCAUAACCGAUAACCAAACAAUAUAUUAUGUGUGCUAAACGACCAGUUCCAUAAGUUCCAGUUAACCGAUAUUACAUGUUAAUUUGACUAUCAUUAAGCGACUAUUUUUUAAAUUCCCAAUUUAUUGUUGUUAGAUUUUUAUGUUGGACGAUUCGAUACUUACAAUUACAUCAAAUAUUUGUAUAUUUUAGCAUAGCAUGCAUGAUAUCACAUGCAGCCCGAAUAUAGUUUUAAACUUGUAUAUUAUUAUCAUUAUUAUUAUUUGAAUUCGAGUCUUUGAUUUGAUUUUAUUUCGCCAUCGGCUAAUGAUGCACUUAACGCAACCUGUACCAGUUACUUUAUUAGAUGAAAUCUGCUAACUUUGUGUCUUCUUCAAAACUCGAUAUGGCUAAGGAAUCGUUUGAUAAUUGAAUUAUUCCUAAACGUAAAUGAAAUUAAUGUUAGUGUUAGUUAAACUAGUGAAAUAAGUUCCCGCAAGCAACAGAACUUACCAAAGUAUUCAGAUAAUGGAAAAACCUAUUUAACAGAUCUACGGAUAUAUAUUUACAUACAUGCAUUUUCUAGUGAAAUCGUAUAAUGAACUAAUUACAAAUAUACGCAUUAAAUGUUAAA